rnacentral:rRNA from 1 species
GACGUAGGGCGCGAGCGUUGUCCGGAUUUAUUGGGCGUAAAGAGCUCGUAGGUGGUUCGGUAAGUCGGAUGUGAAAUCUCCAGGCUCAACCUGGAGGGGUCAUUCGAUACUGCCGUGACUAGAGUUCGGUAGGGGAGUGUGGAAUUCCUGGUGGAGCGGUGAAAUGCGCAGAUAUCAGGAGGAACACCCGUAGCGAAGGCGGCACUCUGGGCCGAUACUGACACUGAGGAGCGAAAGCGUGGGGAGCGAACAGG